GCCAUGUUCAUCUGCUAACUAUGUUUAUAAACUCUUUUUUUGUGUGUUCAAAUUCAUUGAUUUUUUUCUUCCUUUUCUUUUUUUCCCUAAGGAGUUGCUCCAUCCUUUUUUUUCUUUCUACUCCAUUAGAAAGACACGUACAUUGGAUAUGGUAAAUAUUAGUUAUAACGAUUAAAUUAACUAAGAGGACAAGCUCUGGCGUAAAGAUAAAGCUGCCCUAUAUGACUUGAGCGUCACGAGUUCAAGUAAUAGAAACAAUAUCUUUAUAUACAGGGGU
rnacentral:lncRNA from 1 species